rnacentral:rRNA from 1 species
GACAGAGGGUGCAAACGUUGUUCGGAAUUACUGGGCGUAAAGCGCGUGUAGGCGGCUAAGCAAGUCGGGCGUGAAAUCCCAUGGCUCAACCAUGGAAGUGCACCCGAAACUGCAUAGCUAGAGUCCUGGAGAGGAAGGUGGAAUGCUUGGUGUAGAGGUGAAAUUCGUAGAUAUCAAGCGGAACACCGGUGGCGAAGGCGGCCUUCUGGACAAUGACUGACGCUAAAACACGAAAGCGUGGGGAGCAAACAGG